rnacentral:tRNA from 1 species
GGGGCCGUAGCUCAGUUGGGAGAGCGCCUGCAUGGCAUGCAGGAGGUCGUCGGUUCGAGCCCGAUCGGCUCCA